GUCAGUUUCUUGUUGUGAGAUGCCGUUUCCAUGUCCAUGUGUUGUCUCACCACUCGUCGUUUCCAAUGCAGACUGAAGUGUCCCGACUGGGUGAAACUCUUUCCACAGAAGUCACACUGAUCCAGGAUCGCAGCUUGUGGAUAAUGGAUCAUGUUGAAAGCGGAUCCUGGAUUAUGAUUACAACUCGAUUAAUUAGAUAUACAAUAUGUCCUCUCACAUACACUAUAUUACUCUCAAUACCAAUAACAUUACAAUUGUCAUUGCUGCCACCUUCCUCUCUGUAAACACCUUCCUCUACUUUAAACAUCGAUACAUCUCUUAAUUUAUGUUAGACACUGUCUUUUCUCAUCAGUGUUGUAAAUAUUGUUAUUUUGUUGUGCUCUGCUACAUGCGACAUAUAUUGCACUUCAGUCUGUCCUGGCAGAGGGAUCCCUCACAUUUCUGUGGUUUCUACCUACUAAAAGAUAUCACAUCUUGUUAAGCACUAUA